UACGUAGGGUGCGAGCGUUGUCCGGAAUUAUUGGGCGUAAAGAGCUUGUAGGCGGUUUGUCGCGUCUGCUGUGAAAAUCCGGGGCUCAACCCGGACUUGCAGUGGGUACGGGCAGACUAGAGUGUGGUAGGGGAGACUGGAAUUCCUGGUGUAGCGGUGGAAUGCGCAGAUAUCAGGAGGAACACCGAUGGCGAAGGCAGGUCUCUGGGCCACUACUGACGCUGAGAAGCGAAAGCAUGGGGAGCAACAGG
rnacentral:rRNA from 1 species